UACGGAGGGUGCAAGCGUUAUCCGGAUUCACUGGGUUUAAAGGGUGCGUAGGUGGGCAAGUAAGUCAGUGGUGAAAUCUCCGGGCUCAACCUGGAAACUGCCAUUGAUACUAUUAGUCUUGAAUUUUGUUGAGGUAGGCGGAAUAAGUCAUGUAGCGGUGAAAUGCAUAGAUAUGACUUAGAACACCAAUUGCGAAGGCAGCUUGCUAAACAAACAUUGACGCUGAGGCACGAAAGCGUGGGGAUCAAACAGG
rnacentral:rRNA from 1 species